AUGAAAAUCAAGAAAUUAUUUCUAGCACGCACUUUCUUUUCUUGUAUACCACUUACAUAUCCACCAAGUAACUUAAACAGUACAGAAGAACCUGGCCGAAUGUUCAUUAGCACAAACUGUAAAAAUGAGCUGUCAAAAACACACACAGACGUUCAGCCACAGCAGCAGCCAUCCAAGUACAGCCACAGCAGCAGCCAUCCAAGUACAGCCACAGCAGCAGCCGUCGAGCAGACAAAGUGCAGUAGUAGCUCGCCUCCCAUACAGAGUGAGCACACACACAUCGAGCUGAAGAGGCUGGUCAGACCGGACUUCACAAGCGGCACGGCCACACCAUACGCGCUGCACCCGCAUGAGCAAGAGGCGCCGCUGGGAUCCCACGCACCUCCUCCACAUUUCCUCUGUUGUGCCGGCAUGCGCGGCCAUGUUCGGACUGGCGUUGCAAAGAACCUUCCUUUGGGAAGGUCAAGGUGGUCCUAG
rnacentral:rRNA from 1 species